UAUGACUCCCGGCAAUGGAUAUCUUGGCUCUUGCAUCGAUGAAGAGCGCAGCGAAAUGCGAUACGUGGUGCGAAUUGCAGAAUCCCGUGAACCAUCGAGUUUUUGAACGCAAGUUGCGCCCAAGGCCAUUGGCCGAGGGCACGUCCGCCUGGGCGUCAUGUA
rnacentral:rRNA from 1 species